ensembl:snRNA U1 U1 spliceosomal RNA
UGACUUACCUGGCAGGAGAGAAACCUUAUUAUUAAAGGAGGAUUACCUAGGAUGUAGCUUUGUCUAUUGCAAUCCAGGUGCACUAACCCCUGUGAUUUCUCCAAAGGCAGGAAACUGGGCUGCACUU